rnacentral:rRNA from 1 species
CCUACGGGUGGCAGCAGUGAGGAAUAUUGGUCAAUGGACGAGAGUCUGAACCAGCCAAGUAGCGUGAAGGAUGACUGCCCUAUGGGUUGUAAACUUCUUUUAUAUGGGAUUAAAAUGUUCCACGUGUGGGAUUUUGUAUGUACCAUAUGAAUAAGGAUCGGCUAACUCCGUGCCAGCAGCCGCGGUAAUACGGGGGAUCCGAGCGUUAUCCGGAUUUAUUGGGGUUAAAGGGAGCGUAGGUGGAUUUUUAAGGCAGUUGUGAAAGUUUGAGGCUCAAACGUAAAAGUGCAGUGGAAACUGGCAGUCUUGAGUACAGUAGAGGUGGGCGGAAUUCGUGGUGUAGCGGUGAAAUGCUUAGAUAGCACGAAGAACUCCGAUUGCGAAGGCAGCGCACGGGACUGCAACUGACACUGAGGCACGAAAGUGUGGGUAUCAAACAGGAGUAGAUACCCCUGUAGUC